GGAGCACGGGUGCUCUGCUUGUGGAUGGAUGUGGAUGGACGGAGGUGGAAGGGCUCGGAGGCAGGGCUGCAUUUGCUGCAGAGGGGGCAUCACGGAUCUUCUCUGGAGGAUAAACUAUGUGAUUAAACAGUCAUCAAAGUGGGAACCAAGGACUCAGAUUUAUGAAAACAAAGACCAGAAAUGCCUCAGAAAUGAAGUCUCUGGAGAUGUAGAAAUUUACUCAUGGAGGUGCCUUGCAGGCUCUCACUAUGUAUGGACAUGGACCAGGAUGCAUCAGGCAGAGAAACCUCCUUUCUGUUGAGAAAACAUAGAAGACCUGCAAGGUUUGCAGAAGUAGCACAAAGGGAACUGUGAAUACUCUAGCCAGGUGAUGCUUUGCAACAGUAAUUGAAGCUGUGCUGAGGCCAGGGUUUGCAGGAAAGACUGCUGCAGAGGGCUGUCCCCACUGCUGUGGGGCAGCUGAAUGAGGCAAGACUGCCAAAAACUGGGUAAUGGGUAGCCAGAAGAAGGAGCUGCAUAACAGGAAUGCUGGUAUGUGACUGUCACAGGCCGUCAAGGUCCUGAGGGAAGAAGUACAUGUGGAGAUGUGAGAUUCCUAGAUCACUGUAUAGCUUGGGUAUUAACAGGAACAGGACUCACAGAAGUGGCCACAGGCCAGUGCAGAAUGGUAUCCUCCUGUGGUGGAGGAACUGUUGGCUACAUAGAAACAACAAGAGGGAACCUACCAGAGAACUUCUUGGAGACUGGCCCAGAAAAUUAAAGGGAACUAGAUUAUCCUUAAAGGUCAUUGUCUGCACAUUCACCAUAGCUGCCAAAUAAUGAGUUAGAUCCCAGGGCUAGCCUGCGAACAGCCUAUUUUGCUCACAGAACGAAUGAAGGCUCUGAGCCUGGCUUUCUCAUGGCUAUGUAAGACUCACAUAUCUGCCUGUUGUCUGUUCUAGACAACAAACGGGCUUCACACAUGGUUUCUAUGCAACGGCAGCAACAUCAGUCCAACAAAACUUCAUACUUAUACUUUGCUCUGUGCAAGAAAGACCCUGAGGCUUGCCAUGCAGAGAAGAAGGAUUUUCCCUCCCUUUUUCUUUCUGUGACAACUGGUUGAUGAUAAGAUCCUUGCUUGGAAAGAUGUGAAGCUCCUAUUUGGUAGCCACAUUGCUGGGCAUCUCCUGACUUUUCUUUUGGAGGGUGACUCUUCACUAGAGCUGGUGCUGGCUUGGCCCAGAAACACUUCUCAGUCUGCUCGUGCUCCUUUCUGUUCCUCCUCUUUGAGGAUGAUGGGUUUGCACAACUCUUUCUCUCUCCCCAGAGGCUGGGGACUCCCAGCACCUCUCUUCCAGCCAAGUAGAAUCACGAGGUUUCUAAGCAUGCUACUCCUGAUGGGAUGCCACAGCCUGGCUGUUCACAAGCUUGAACAAGCAGAGAGAAACAUACUUCCAAAAUGAAGAGACGUGAAACGGCAUUCUCGGUUUCGGUCAGCUCAGCCUUGCCCACUGACACUCACAACCACAGCUGGAACAGCUCUGCUGUGGAGUAAGAGCAAAGCUGUGCCCUUUUUGGCUUUGUGUCACUAGCUAGAUUGUGUGGGGGAGCUUAUGCCAUUGAAGAAGGCAGCGGUGUUUAGCCAAACAAGCCUUGAGUGUUAGUGGCCCACAGCCACUUUAUGUGUAAAAUGAAGUGUCUUUUGGCAAGACUUCUUAGUGCAGGGGCGGCUGCAGAGGAAGCAAACGGUGAGGUAAGAGGGAUGGGAGAGAAAAAGAAAAACAGGGCAGGAGAGAAACAAGCAAACAAAAACCCUAGGUGAUCAUCCAGGUUACACACAGAGGGGGCUGGAGAGAGAGGUGGUCCAGGAAGUAGUCUCACCAGGUCUGACUGGUGUCUUAGCUACAGUGUGAACCCACAGCUCAAUCCUGUCUUCCCUAAGAGAAAAAGAUGAGCUCCACCUCCAUACCUGCAUUUUUCU